rnacentral:lncRNA from 1 species
GUGGGAAUUUCCAGACAUGAGUCCUGCGCAUGACUGGGAGCGUGCCUUUCUUGUUUUUCCUUUUUUACUGACGAAGCUAUUGUCCAGUUGAAAAAUGAUCGAUUAUUUAUGACAAAAACAACCUGAGGUUUGAUUAUAAACAUUGUUUGACAUGUUUCUACGAACUUCUAUGGUACUUUUUUGAUUUUUUGUCUGUCUGUCUGUUGUGACCGCGCUUUGUUCCAAUGGAUUACUGAACAAAACGCACAAACAAAACGGAGGUUUUUGGAUAUAAAGAGGGACUUUAUCAAACAAAACUAACAUUUAUUGGGUAACUGGGAGACUUGUGAGUGUAACCAUAUGAAGAUCAUCAAAAGAGUCUAGAACAUCCACCUUCAUUCUGUCUGGAGAAGACUACGUUCAAGAUUACCACCCCUACGUGAACAUUUUAUCUGCUGUAUAGCACAGAAGGACAUGGAGGAGACCGGCCUCUGAGAAAUGAUAUGCAAUUGGGUAUUUAGGGAAUCCCUACAUGCCGCACAACUACGGCAGGGGUACAAGCCAGUCACCUUGUCCAGUCUUCUGCCAUUUAUUUUCGGGGGGACAUGAGUGUCAACCCGAAUAAUUAAGUCCCUGACAUUCCUGGCCUUGUAAUGUGAAAAGAGAGGAGGGUCAGAGAAAAUAUUUUGGCAAGCAGGAUCAGCCAUUCCAAUGCUUCUUUAUCAUUCCCUUGAUAUCAUCACUCAAAGGAAAAUAUAUAGUGGUACAGACACAUUCAUGUUUUUGGAUUUUUUACUUUUAUUCUUUCAGGUUGACCUCUCAUCAAUGGUACGUUCUUUACGGAAAGCAUCAUCAAGCCAUUCUUUAGGGUAUGAGAGGGCCUCAAAAUAUUUUCAUAGUCUAAUUUCUAAAGUCUGUUUUAUGUGCUUCAGUCUCAGAAAUUGUAUGUACGGUAAUCCCUUCUUCAGAAAUGUGGGAUACGCUCUAGAGGUAUGUAGGAUACUGUUCUUGUCUGUAGGCUUUGUAUACAAAGUAGUGGACAAGGACCCUGAGUCAAGGCGUACAAGAGAUCAAGGAAGGUUCUCACCCUGACUAAUCUCGGUUGUGAACUUGAUAUAUUGAACCAUAUCAUUACGGUAAGUGAGAAAAUCAUCAAACACAUUGAGGGGACCAUUCGAAAUGAGAAACACCUUAUCAAUAUCUUUUGAGAAAGGGUUAGGGUUAUUGUGCCAAAAAAACUUGUAUUCCAGAUAACCCUCAAAUAGACAUGCGUAGUCAGGAGAGAAAAUGGAAACCGCUCCCUGUUUUUGUAAAUAGCAACCGUCUUCAAACAAAAAAAGUAACUGGCACAGGAGGUCCAUUGAAAUUUUUGUUUGCGGCUGAUAGGGAGGGGUUGGCAGGCCAGAGUUUGUGGCGGAUCUGGGUGACAGGUUCCAGCACACAGCUGCAGAACUGCAGCCAGACAUCAUGAGAUCUUCCUGAAAUGAGGACAUUCUUUAGAUUUUAUUGCGAAACAUUACAUCCAAUGUUGGUGAGAUGCAUGUCUAAGAACUUUCAACAUUUUCUCCAUAUUUUCAUCAUAACCGAGUGAACAGUUUUAAGGUAAACUAUUCAAAGUUGUAAUUUGUGCAGGAAUACAGUGUAGUGUGCACAAUACAAUGAUAUAAGUAGAUAACUAGAGAAUAUUAAGUACAGUGUAGUAGGAGCCAUAGCAAAGAGUCAGGGUUAAUAUAUUCAACAGUCUUAUGGCUUGGAGGUCUCUGAGCAUGGUGGUGCUACACUUGAUGCUCCAAUAAAGGAGUAGGCAUCUUAUUCUGCAUUCACGGCAUGUCCGGAACUCUUAAAUACAGUAUGUCCUUCCUAAUGGGAAAAAUGCAUGUGAACGCCCCAACUCGGAAUUACGACUAGGAAACUCGUGUAUGAUCUCUUGACCCCGAUGUUUCUCACAUGCUGAACUCUGACGUUAUGCACCACUGCAAAUGGCAACAAACAUGGCCACAAUUUUGGCUGUCAAUGGUGAGAAUGGUUCUUGCAUUCCUUCCGAGCGCGUGAACACUCCAAGUCGUUCCUCCCAAGUAGAUAAUUAUUCCUUCAAUAUCUCCGACAUGACGUGAACGCGGCAUUAGUUUCCAAUUUUAAAUAAUAGGCCUACCUCUAAAGCCGGGCGGACACUACACGUUUUUAGCCUGAUCUACGGACUUCCGAUCAGCUGCAGGCGCAUUUUUCCAAAUCGGCGCAAACCAGGAGUAAAACGUAGCACUGCAGCACAUAAAGUAUAGGCACAUACCGAUUUGCGGUUGAUGGCUCUCACGGGCUCCCAGGCACUCUACAGCACUUAUAGUGUCCUCAUCAUUUUCUAACAGGUUGAAUAUAUUCAACCUCAAUUCUGGGUGACAGGUUCCAGCUCACAGCUGCAGAACUGCAGCCACCCUAAUCUAGCACACCUGAUUCUAAUAA